rnacentral:rRNA from 1 species
UGGACCUACGGGGGGCAGCAGUGAGGAAUAUUGGUCAAUGGGCGAGAGCCUGAACCAGCCAAGUCGCGUGAAGGAUGACGGCCCUACGGGUUGUAAACUUCUUUUGUCAGGGAGCAAUUGGGUCCACGCGUGGGCUUAGCGAGAGUACCUGAAGAAAAAGCAUCGGCUAACUCCGUGCCAGCAGCCGCGGUAAUACGGAGGAUGCGAGCGUUAUCCGGAUUUAUUGGGUUUAAAGGGUGCGUAGGCGGGACGGUAAGUCAGCGGUAAAAAUGCGGAGCUCAACUCCGUCGAGCCGUUGAAACUGC